GCAAAAAGCAGCUAUAUUUGUGUUACAGCUCUGGAGGAAAAACUAUCCUGAUUGUCAGGAAGUUAGACUAUACCUGAAGCUACAAAGGGACAGCUCUGGAGGGUUUCUGAAUUGGACAAAAGAGGACAGGCAAGAGAAAGAAAGGUGAGAGCUUAUUGCUUUACUGAUGACCUUCACCAAGAUCUUCGUUUCCUGGCAGAUUGGUUUCCUCCAAACUUCACAACGACCUGUUCCAGUUCAGCCUGACCUUUACUUUCCUCAGAUUGAGCUAUUACACAGUGAACCACUGCUGAAUUACCCCUAUUGGGUUUGGGAGUUUUUCUUUGCCUUAACUUCUUUUAUACACAUUAUCAUUCAGCAUUUAAUUGGAACAGCCAGAAAUGAAGACAAGGCAGAUUUUCUUUUUUCUUUUUUGAAAAACAUGCUAACAUGAGGAGGUGCCUGGCUGGAAUAACAUGAAGAACAAAUCUGC